GCGGGCUAACAAAUUUGAGCUUUUUUGGGUUCUCCACUGAUUAGGGCAGAGUUGGAUCAAGACACUCCACUAAAGGACCGACACGAAUCGAUCAUCAAACAAAGCCCAAAUGUGCUACUGGAUCGAAUGAAAGGGCAUACGCCCGUGGAUCAUGUGAAAGGGCUACGUCUCAAUCUCUCAGGCACCCGCACCGUCGUGCUGCUUACAGGGAGGUGGCGCUCGCUGGGAGGCGGCGGUGCGACGCUCGCAAGGAGGCAACGCGAUACCUGUAGGCGGCCUCGUGGAGACGUUGUCCCUAUCGUGGAGGUCUUCCUCUCGACCCAGCAGCCGUAGCCCAGCCGUAGCCCAACUCAGAUCUCUGCUGCAACGUCAUCCAAUAGGCUAAGGAGUUCCUUGGUGCUUCCGGUGACAAGCGAAAGGAAGUCAUCUGCAGUAUGGAGGAGGCAGAUAAGCUCAGUGGUUCUGCUGCAAGGCUAAGGAGUUCCUUGGUGCUUCCGGUGAUUCUCUUUCUGUUGUAAAGCAGCUUUCCUGCGAGUGCCUCUACACAUUGAGGAGACCCGCCUUCACUCAUUGAGGAGUCCUGCCGAGCAACAUUGUUAAGUUCAGUUAUCUGAAUUCAGUUGGAUCAUGGCUGUCGAUAAACAUUUUAGUAUAAUGGAUAUUGUAGUCCUACUGCGAGCAGUUUCUCUUCAUGCUUGGAGCGACUUUGCUUGUGAGUUGAUAAACAUUUUAGUAUAAUGGAGGAUACUAAUUUCAUGGUUGCA